rnacentral:rRNA from 1 species
UAAUACGGAGGGAGCUAGCGUUGUUCGGAAUUACUGGGCGUAAAGCGCACGUAGGCGGCUUUUUAAGUCAGGGGUGAAAUCCCGGGGCUCAACCCCGGAACUGCCCUUGAAACUGGGAAGCUAGAAUCUUGGAGAGGCGAGUGGAAUUCCGAGUGUAGAGGUGAAAUUCGUAGAUAUUCGGAAGAACACCAGUGGCGAAGGCGACUCGCUGGACAAGUAUUGACGCUGAGGUGCGAAAGCGUGGGGAGCAAACAGG